AAGGAGCACACGGCAGCUUCGGGCGAACGUCCCGGAGUGCUAGCUCAUGGGUGGAACGUUGACUAUUCGGCACACACGGUGACGGACUGCCAGUACUGCCCUCGGGGCGUGGAACGCAGGUCCUGAAGCGGGUGUGCCGGGCACGUUGUUGGGUCCUGAGGGAACGGCUUUGCCGUUGUCUCGUGGAUGCCGGCCUCAUGCCGGGCGCUCCUGUAAGGGGGUGUCGGGUUUGGGUGUCUGGUCGUUGUUUGAGAACUGCACAGUGGACGCGAGCAUCUGU
rnacentral:misc_RNA from 1 species